rnacentral:rRNA from 1 species
GACGUAGGGCGCGAGCGUUGUCCGGAUUUAUUGGGCGUAAAGAGCUCGUAGGCGGUCUGUCGCGUCGGCUGUGAAAACCCGGGGCUCAACUCCGGGCCUGCAGUCGAUACGGGCAGACUAGAGUUCGGUAGGGGAGACUGGAAUUCCUGGUGUAGCGGUGAAAUGCGCAGAUAUCAGGAGGAACACCGGUGGCGAAGGCGGGUCUCUGGGCCGAAACUGACGCUGAGGAGCGAAAGCGUGGGGAGCAAACAGG